rnacentral:tRNA from 1 species
GGGCCCAUAGCCUAGCCUGGAUAGGGCGUUUGGCUUCGGACCAAAAGAUCGUGGGUUCGAAUCCCACUGGGCCCG